rnacentral:sRNA from 1 species
GCUGGGCAUGGUGGUGCACGCCUGUAAUCCCAGCUGAUCGGGAGGCUGAGGCAGGAGGAUCAUGAGUUCAAAGCCAGCCUCAGCAAUAGUGAGGCACUAACCAACUCAGUGAGACCUGUCUCUA